rnacentral:rRNA from 1 species
AGAGUUUGAUCCUGGCUCAGGAUGAACGCUGGCGGCGUGCCUAACACAUGCAAGUCGAACGAGAAGCUAACUUCUGAUUCCUUCGGGAUGAUGAGGUUAGCAGAAAGUGGCGAACGGGUGAGUAACGCGUGGGUAAUCUACCCUGUAAGUGGGGGAUAACCCUCCGAAAGGAGGGCUAAUACCGCAUAAUAUCUUCUCCUCCCAGGAAGAGAAGAUUAAAGAUGGCCUCUAUACUAUGCUAUCACUUCAGGAUGAGCCCGCGUCCUAUUAGUUAGUUGGUGGGGUAAUGGCCUACCAAGACCACAAUGGGUAGCCGGUCUGAGAGGAUGUACGGCCACACUGGGACUGAGAUACGGCCCAGACUCCUACGGGAGGCAGCAGUGGGGAAUAUUGCGCAAUGGGGGAAACCCUGACGCAGCGACGCCGCGUGGAUGAUGAAGGCCUUUGGGUUGUAAAAUCCUGUUCUGGGGGAAGAAACCUUAAGGGUCCAAUAAACCCUUAAGCUGACGGUACCUGUGGAGGAAGCACCGGCUAACUCCGUGCCAGCAGCCGCGGUAAUACGGAGGGUGCAAGCGUUGUUCGGAGUUACUGGGCGUAAAGCGCGUGCAGGCGGUCUUUUAAGUCCCGUGUGAAAUCCCUUGGCUCAACCGAGGAACUGCGCGGGAAACUGAAGGACUUGAACUCGGGAGAAGAGGGCGGAAUUCCCAGUGUAGAGGUGAAAUUCGUAGAUAUUGGGAAGAACACCAGCGGCGAAGGCGGCUCUCUAGACCGAUCUUGACGCUCAUACGCGAAAGCGUGGGUAGCAAACAGGAUUAGAUACCCUGGUAGUCCACGCUGUAAACGAUGGAUGCUAGAUGUUCGGGGAGUUGACCCCUCGAGUGUCGACGCUAACGCAUUAAGCAUCCCGCCUGGGGAGUACGGUCGCAAGACUAAAACUCAAAGGAAUUGACGGGGGCCCGCACAAGCGGAGGAGCAUGUGGUUUAAUUCGAUGAUACGCGAGGAACCUUACCCGGGCUUAAAUGUAGGUUGCAUUUCCGUGAAAACGGAAUUUCCUUCGGGACCGCCUACAAGGUGCUGCAUGGUUGUCGUCAGCUCGUGCCGUGAGGUGUCGGGUUAAGUCCCAUAACGAGCGCAACCCCUAUCUUUAGUUGCCAGUCCCGGCCUAGUCCGGGAGGGACUCUAAAGAAACUGCCCGCGCAAGCGGUGAGGAAGGUGGGGAUGACGUCAAAUCAGCACGGCCCUUAUGUCCGGGGCUACACACGUGCUACAAUGGCCGGUACAGUGGGCAGCUUAUGCGCGAGCAUUUGCUAAUCCCUAAAACCGGUCUCAGUCCGGAUUGGAGUCUGCAACCCGACUCCAUGAAGCUGGAUUCGCUAGUAAUCGCACAUCAGCCAUGGUGCGGUGAAUACGUUCCCGGGCCUUGUACACACCGCCCGUCAAGCCAUGGAAGCUGGGGGUACCUGAAGUCCGUAACCGUUAAGGAGCGGCCUAGGGUAAAACCGGUGACUGGGGCUAAGUCGUAACAAGGUA